rnacentral:rRNA from 1 species
GAUGAACGCUGGCGGCGUGCCUAAUACAUGCAAGUCGAACGCAUAGCGAAAGGUGCUUGCACCUUUCAAGUGAGUGGCGAACGGGUGAGUAACACGUGGACAACCUGCCUCAAGGCUGGGGAUAACAUUUGGAAACAGAUGCUAAUACCGAAUAAAACUUAGUGUCGCAUGACACAAAGUUAAAAGGCGCUUCGGCGUCACCUAGAGAUGGAUCCGCGGUGCAUUAGUUAGUUGGUGGGGUAAAGGCCUACCAAGACAAUGAUGCAUAGCCGAGUUGAGAGACUGAUCGGCCACAUUAGGACUGAGACACGGCCCAAACUCCUACGGGAGGCUGCAGUAGGGAAUCUUCCACAAUGGGCGAAAGCCUGAUGGAGCAACGCCGCGUGUGUGAUGAAGGCUUUCGGGUCGUAAAGCACUGUUGUAUGGGAAGAACAGCUAGAAUAGGAAAUGAUUUUAGUUUGACGGUACCAUACCAGAAAGGGACGGCUAAAUACGUG